UACAGAGGGUGCGAACGUUGUUCGGAAUUACUGGGCAUAAAGCGCGCGUAGGCGGCCACGUAAGUGUCUUGUGAAAUCCCACGGCUCACCCGUGUGAAGCGUGAGGCAUACUGCGUGGCUAGAGUGUGGUAGGGGAGAGCGGAACUCCUGGUGGAGCGGUGAAAUGCGUAGAUAUCAGGAGGAACACCGGCGGCGAAGGCGGCUCUCUGGUCCACUACUGACGCUGAGGUGCGAAAGCUAGGGUAGCGAACGGG
rnacentral:rRNA from 1 species